rnacentral:lncRNA from 10 species
UGGUAACCGCGACUUCCCCGCCAUGUUCUGUGUGUUGCUGGCUGGAGAAGGGUGGUUGACAAACUCCGACCCAGCACAGUGUUUCUGUGGGUCAAAACUAGAAAACUAUGUCCAGGCUCGGCCGAGGCGGAAGGAUCCGUUCAGGCCAGGAGUUAAAGAGCUGCCUGGGCAACAUGGCGCGACCCCAUCUCUGUAGUCCCACCUCAGCUUCCCAGAUACUUGAACCCCAAGGUUCAAGGCUGCAAUGAGCUAUGAUCCCAUCACAGCACUCCAUCCUGCGAGACGGAGGACCUGCGGAGCAGCCAGGCUUCAUGAGUUAAAUGCAGAUCUGAACCAUACCCAGUUGGGAUUGGGGUACACACUCUACUCCUCUGAAAACUAGCUAGGGGUUCGAACUUGGUGAGAGGGAGAGUGGGACAGAGCCAGACCAGACAAGGACUGAUCACCUGGAAAAACCUGCCAUCAAAGACCUUGACGAGUGCUGGGGGCGGUGGCUCAUGCCUGUAAUCCCAACACUUUGGGAGGCUGAGACAGGUGGAUCACUUGAGGCCAGGAGUUCGAGUCCCGCCUGGGCAACAUGGCAAAACCCUGUCUCUACUAAAAAUACAAAAAUUAGCUAGGUAUGCUAUGCUCCUGUAAUCCCAGCUACUCGGGAGGUUGAGGCAGGAGAAUCGUUUGAACUGGGGAGGUAGAGGUUGCAGUGAGCUGAGAUUGUGUCACUGCCCUCCAGCCUGGGUGACAGAGUGAGACUCCGUCUCAAAAAAAAAAAAAAAACCCACCUGAAGAAGGUUUCCAGUUCUGCCAGCAGUCCCCCAUCCAACCCCCAGAAGCAGACAUUCCUUUGCUGUGG